AGCGAACGCUGGCGGCAGGCCUAACACAUGCAAGUCGAACGAACUCUUCGGAGUUAGUGGCGGACGGGUGAGUAACACGUGGGAACGUGCCUUUUGGUUCGGAAUAACUCAGGGAAACUUGUGCUAAUACCGAAUGUGCCCUUCGGGGGAAAGAUUUAUCGCCAUUAGAGCGGCCCGCGUCUGAUUAGCUAGUUGGUGAGGUAACGGCUCACCAAGGCGACGAUCAGUAGCUGGUCUGAGAGGAUGACCAGCCACACUGGGACUGAGACACGGCCCAGACUCCUACGGGAGGCAGCAGUGGGGAAUCUUGCGCAAAGGGCGAAAGCCUGACGCAGCCAUGUCGCGUGAAUGAUGAAGGUCUUAGGAUUGUAAAAUUCUUUCACCGGGGACGAUAAUGACGGUACCCGGAGAAGAAGCCCCGGCUAACUUCGUG
rnacentral:rRNA from 1 species